rnacentral:misc_RNA from 1 species
UAAUUCACCAGGUGGUUCUGUCACUGCAGGUUUGGGAAUAUAUGAUGCAAUGAAGUUGUGCAAGGCUGAUGUUUCAACUAUUUGCCUGGGGCUUGCUGCAUCUAUGGGAGCUUUUCUUCUUGCUUCUGGUUCCCAAAAGGUGCUGCAUGCCCAAUGGGAGAGUGAUGAUCCAUCAGCCUCUUGGAACUGCUGGAGGCAAAGCAACAGAGAUGAGCAUUCGGAUAAGAGAAAUGAAUUACCAC